rnacentral:rRNA from 1 species
GACGAACGCUGGCGGCGUGCUUAACACAUGCAAGUCGAACGGUAAGGCCCUUCGGGGUACACGAGUGGCGAACGGGUGAGUAACACGUGGGUGAUCUGCCCUGCACUUCGGGAUAAGCCUGGGAAACUGGGGCUAAUACCGGAUAGGACUCCUGGCUUCAUGGCUGGGGGUGGAAAGCUUUUGCGCUAUGAGAUGGGCUCGCGGCGCAUUAGCUAGUUGGUGAGGUAACGGCUCACCAAGGCGACGAUGCGUAGCCGACCUGAGAGGGUGAUCGGCCACAUUGGGACUGAGACACGGCCCAGACUCCUACGGGAGGCAGCAGUGGGGAAUAUUGCACAAUGGGGGAAACCCUGAUGCAGCAACGCCGCGUGAGUGAUGACGGCCUUCGGGUUGUAAAGCUCUGUCUUCAGGGACGAUAAUGACGGUACCUGAGGAGGAAGCCCCGGCUAACUUCGUGCCAGCAGCCGCAGUAA